rnacentral:rRNA from 1 species
ACACAUGCAAGUCGAACGAGAAAGUGGAGCAAUCCAUGAGUAAAGUGGCGACCGGGUGAGUAACACGUGACUAACCUACCUCCGAGUGGGGAAUAACUCCGGGAAACCGGGGCUAAUACCGCAUAACAUCGCAAGAUCAAAGCAGCAAUGCGCUUGGAGAGGGGGUCGCGGCUGAUUAGCUCGUUGGCGGGGUAACGGCCCACCAAGGCGAAGAUCGGUAUCCGGCCUGAGAGGGCGCACGGACACACUGGAACUGAAACACGGUCCAGACUCCUACGGGAGGCAGCAGUGGGGAAUUUUGCGCAAUGGGGGAAACCCUGACGCAGCAACGCCGCGUGGAGGAUGAAGCCCUUUGGGGCGUAAACUCCUUUCGACUCGGACGAUAAUGACGGUACGAGUGGAAGAAGCACCGGCUAACUCUGUGCCAGCAGCCGCGGUAAUACAGAGGGUGCGAGCGUNGUUCGGAAUUAUUGGGCGUAAAGGGCGCG